rnacentral:rRNA from 1 species
UGUGCCAGCAGCCGCGGUAAUACGUAGGGUGCAAGCGUUGUCCGGAAUUAUUGGGCGUAAAGAGCUCGUAGGCGGUUUGUUGCGUCGGCUGUGAAAACCUGAGGCUCAACCUCAGGCCUGCAGUCGAUACGAGCAGACUAGAGUGUUGCAGGGGAGACUGGAAUUCCUGGUGUAGCGGUGAAAUGCGCAGAUAUCAGGAGGAACACCGGUGGCGAAGGCGGGUCUCUGGGCAACAACUGACGCUGAGGAGCGAAAGCGUGGGGAGCGAACAGGAUUAGAUA